UUAAAUUUGGAACAGCUGUCGGAACUUAAGUGGGUCUAGAGAUUCUAGUAUCCAUAGAUAUUAAAACAGUUAUCUAUCGAUACGAAACUCAAUUCAGUAUGUUUUUUUUUUUAAAUAUAAACCGCACGACAUUUGAUCUCGAGUGAUAUGAUAAUAGGGACUUCAUUCGUUUGUCUAUAAUUUAAAAAAAAUCUUCUUGAGGAUCGAAUUGCCGCCAUUACUGUUGUCAUUUGUUUGUUGAUUUUUUUGCUUUUACGAAAGUAGAAUUGUGAAAAAUUGUUUGUAAUUUACAUUUUAGUUGAAAAUAUGAGUAGUUUGUUUCUGUAUUUGUUCAAAUUUAUUUUUAUUGCAUUAUUUUAAUAUCUAUAGUCUAUAGAUGUUUUACAGGUAGCACUAGUAGCAAUGCAGGUCAUUUCCCUACGGCUUCCGAACCGAAGAGAACUUAUGAUAUGUGUCUAGAUAAAGUAGUGUAUGCAACUGUACAUAUUAGGCCUUUAAACACUCGUGUGAAAACCACACAUGUGUUUUGAGAUCGCUCAUUAUGUAUCAGUUGCAUAAACUCAUUCGAGAUUGUGUUCGCCCGGAGCCGACGGACAAAAAUGUUUUUUUAUUCCCGAAUUAUUUACAUGUUUUAUUAGUUAUUAGGGACGUUUGGCCGAAAUAACGUUCUAAACCGAGCACGUGCGGUAUAAUUUUAAAAUAAAUAAUGAUUAAUAAUCGUGCUAGAGAUUAUUUUCUAAUUAUUCCGCAUAAAAUAACCGAUUAAAAUCCUAACGCUUAAGUCUGCGAAGUUCAUUCUGAUGCAAUAAAAUACCUAUUUGUAUACACAACUGCAAUCUUUGUAAACAAUAAAAAUGGCAGUUUCCUGUUUAUUGACAAUUAUUGCGAACACAGAUUAGAUAAGUUGGAUAUCGAAUCCUGACUUUGCUUUAAUUUUAAAGUAUCUUUAUCGUAAAUGCGAAAGGAUCUAGCUUUAGUACGCUGUAACUGCUCAGCUAAGGCCUCACGCUCAGGCAGUGUAGCCAAUGCGACUUUCGUUAAUCGUAAACGCUAAUCGCUAAUCGAAUGAUCAGUUCCACUUGUCGUUUGGCAUUAACAAUUAACGUUUAUCGUCGGCUUGCCAUCAAAUGUGACGUUUUCAAUCAAAAGGUACCACAUUGACGCUUGUUUAUAAGGUUGAUUUCUAAUUGAAGCUAUAUGGAAAUAGCGCCUUACUGACAAGCGACAAUAAGUACCCUUUUGGUUGAAAACGUCACAAAUGGUCAUAUUGUCUCCGAAAGAAAAAAACUUUCUAAUAUUCAAAUGUAUAUAUGUAGUUAAAUAGCCGCUUAUUUAGUAUUGUAAUAUUAUUUUCAUACUAAACUGGAUAUGUUUAAAAAUGAAGCAUCGCACUACUUACGGUACCGUCAACCGGGAUUAAUAGGGAUGGCUGGGGUUAAUAGGGACAAAACUUAAAAUGUGAUUUACCUGACAGUUUCUUAAUAAAUACCCACACAAAUUGUAUUAUACCAAAUCUACUAUUAUUUAGUGAAAACAUAGUUUUACAACAUUCAAUACUUAAAAAUAACCACAAUUAUACUUAACUAAUACUAAACCUAAACUAACCCUUAAAAACUAGUCGAACAACCCACCCCGCCUCGCUCCCGACGCAAAGUCGCCCAUCACGCUUGCUGCGUUUCCGCGUUGAACUGCGAUGGACAACCUCUGCGCCAGGACCAGGAGCGGGGGUCGAGGGGGGGGACUAUUAUUUUCAAUAGAAUGAUACAAUUUGUAUGUUUUUUUUAAAGAAAUUGUCAAGUAAAUCACAUUUUAAGUUUUGUCCCUAUUUACCCCAGCCAUCCCUAUUCAACCCGGUUGACCGUACUCGAUUUAGCAUUUAAUUUAAGUACUUGUGAGGGGCAGAAUGCAGUGUUUUAUACAUCACAUAGACAUAGGUUUAGUUUAAUGUCGGGAUUUCUCAUGUCUUUUUGGCUGUUACUUCGUUUUUACCAGUUUUUUUAAUGCUCCGGUGCCAUUUUUACGGAAUAUAUGUAAUAAAUUGUAAUGCAAUGGA